GGCCUCCCAGGCUGAGUCCGUUACACCGACUGUAUAGCAAGAGGAGACCCAGUGGUCCCACCUCUCAGACAGCCCAACCGAGGCCCUUUGCCCAGUUGUACCGUGAAUGGGGGAGAGUUUG
rnacentral:snoRNA from 1 species